GGUAUCUAGGACAAGGAAACUUUAAUUUUCUUUUUGUUUAAUAUUUUGGAUUCACACGAAUGAUUCGAUAUAAUGUUAUACCUAUUUUCUUUUUUAAUAAUUGUUUAUCUUUGCUUUAAUGUGGGAGUAGAAAAGGUGCCAACGACAGGAAUAAAAAAAUUAAACAAAAGAACUGUAAACUGAGUAAUGUCAACAGCCCACCACCGAAAUUGGAAAAGAACCGUUUUAUUUCUUUGAUUACUUGAGUGAGUUUAUUUUUGUGGAACAAAAAUCACUAAACAAGAUGCGAACAAAGGAAAUUAAAAUCGCACAUGAAAAAAAAAAAAAAAACAAACAA